rnacentral:rRNA from 1 species
GACGAACGCUGGCGGCGUGCUUAACACAUGCAAGUCGAACGGAAAGGCCCUGCUAUUGUGGGGUGCUCGAGUGGCGAACGGGUGAGUAACACGUGAGUAACCUGCCCUUGACUUUGGGAUAACUUCAGGAAACUGGGGCUAAUACCGGAUAGGAGCUCCUGCUGCAUGGUGGGGGUUGGAAAGUUUCGGCGGUUGGGGAUGGACUCGCGGCUUAUCAGCUUGUUGGUGGGGUAGUGGCUUACCAAGGCUUUGACGGGUAGCCGGCCUGGGAGGGUGACCGGCCACAAUGGGAAUGAGGUACCGGCCAGAAUCCUACGGGGAGGAAGAGGUGGGAAUAUUGCAAAAAGGGGGGGAGGCCGAUUGCAGAACCGCCGGUGGGGGAAUGCGGCCCUCCGGGUGGAAACCCGUUUCGCCUUGUACGGAGCGGGAGGGGCGGUAAUGGGUUAAGAAGGAACGGCUAACUACGUG